UACACACCGCCCGUCACACCAUGGGAGUUGGCUUUACCUGAAGACGGUGCGCUAACCGCAAGGAGGCAGCCGGCCACGGUAGGGUCAGCGACUGGGUG
rnacentral:rRNA from 1 species